rnacentral:rRNA from 1 species
CGUGAGGCGUUCUGGAGCGUACGGAAGUAAGAAUGUUGGCACAAGUAACCGCAAUGCGGGUGAAAUCCCCGCACGCCGAAAGACUAAGGUUUCCUUGGCGAUGUUGAUCAGCCAAGGGUUAGUCGGGCCUAAGGUGAUGGCGAAAGCCGAAACCGAUGGACACAUGGUUAAUAUUCCAUGACUCCAACGCGGUGCGAUGGGGGGACGAAGUUUAGUAUGCUUUGCGCAUUAUUGGAUUUGCGUUCGUGCUCGAAGGAAGGUUUCCAGGAAAAUCCGGUACCUGCUUUUAAUGGCAAUUCCAACGAGAGCGAAAAUUCUUUCCGUUCGCGGAAAGGAAAUAAAGCAAAGCAGACUUCCAAGAAAAACCUCUAAGCAUAACCGCGGUGGAACCGUACCGCAAACCGACACAGGUAGUCUGGUCGAGAAGACUAAGGCGAACGAGUGAUUUUUUCCCAAGGAACUCGGCAAAAAAGCAGCCGUAACUUCGGAAUAAGGCUUCCCUUUCUUGUCUACGACAAGAUCGCGGACUUAAUGCGGACUGUACGCGGACCAACGCGGAAUUAAAACUUCUGCGAAAGUCUGCGUUUAGUCUGCGAGAGUCGGCGUUCUCGCCGUAGGCGAGAGGGGGCGCAGCGAAAGUAUCCCUGGCAACUGUUUACCAAAAACACAGCUCCCUGCGAACUCGUAAGAGGAUGUAUAGGGGGUGACGCCUGACCAAUGCCAGAAGGUCAAA